rnacentral:lncRNA from 1 species
UGGUGGGUUGUUGUCAGUUCAAAGUAUUCUUUUUUACAGACACGAGCAGCUUCCAUGGUUGUUCGGACUUGGGACAAGAAUCGUAAAGGGAUUGCGUGCAUUCUUAGAAAAAUGAGAAUAAAAUCAACAAAUGGUAUUUAAAUUGCGGCCUCUGUUAUGUCAAAUUUGCUAACAAGUUAUAUUCUUUUAUCGUGCUUGUUUUUUGCUGCACAUUACGUACGCUGCUUUGAAUAAAAAAGGGAGUUUGUUUGAUUCAAGUGUGAAUAAAAAGUUUAGUUAUUUAAGGUUGGCUGCACAUUGCCACAACGCCAAUAUUGUGGGGUGACCUAGUUUUAUUCUAGACCAACUGAAAUGGUUGAAUUUUGAUUUUGGUCCCUCUACUUCUACAAUGUCAUUAAUAAUAUACUUGUUGCAAGGGGUUGACUUCUUCAAGAGAAGUCUUUGAAGUUGUCUGUAGGGUAGUUAGUUGGUUGAUCCCCCAGCAAUGUUAAGAUAUUGUCCCCAGAUCAUAUCGGUGUAUGAUUUAUAGAGGGAAAUCGUACAUAGACGCAUGACCACUCACGAAUUGAACAUGAAUGUCUUCGCUCUUGUUGGGGUUUGAACCAUUGAUCUUUGGCAUAUAGGUUACUGCAUAGGAGAUAUGGUACCACUUGAGCUAGUGAAUGUCCCCUUAAGGUGGGAGACAAAAUCUCAACAUGAUACGAGGACAAUACCGUAUGUUGGAAGAAUUGAUUGACUGUCCAACAAAUAACACUUUAAAAACUUUAACAAAAAAGAGCCGGCCUUCCUCAACCAUACUAAUAUAAAUUCUUUUUUUACUUAAAAAUAUUCUUUCAAAAUCAAAGGAAAACAAAAUAGCAAAGUCAUUAAUACAGUGGUAAAAAGAAUUGUGUUGAUUUUAAUUAUUAGUUGACAUCAUACCUCUAGGGGUUUAGAUGGGGCAAGCAGUAACCUUGACCUCUCAAAUAAGGUAAAUUUAUAAAAUUAUCCUUUGGUCUCUCAAAAUUUUAUUUAUCCCUGCAUAUCUCGAGUUUAAACCUUGGUCCCUUUCUCCUCCCCUAUAAGAAAAUAAUGAUAAUUUUUAAUUAUUGGACUAAAUAAUGAUAAGAGGAAUAAAUUAUGUCAGAUUAAAGUAUGAUAACUUUGUUUAAAAAAAAAAAGAAGUAUGAUAACUAAAUCUUAAACUUGAGAAUAAUAAAGGGACCAAAACCAAAAUUUAAACUAAAUAAAAAAACAAUAAUGGCUGCAAAUUGGACACAUUUUUGCUGGUGUCAUACUAGGGAAGUUUCGUCCCUAAGAGUAAAAUUAAAUUGAUCAGAACGUUUUGCAGGGAACUUCAUACUAGCCUUUGUUUUAAGCUGCUGCUUCUUUUUCCUGUUUUAGACUUAGUCACGUGAAAUUUUGUGUUGGAACAGUACCGAAAUAAUCCCUUUUAAUUAUAAGAAAGUAAAAGGUGCUUUCUAUCAUCACAUGAAUAAUUAAAAAUUUCUUAAUAUUGAUUAUCAAAAUUAUGAUUUUUGUUGUUGUUAUUCAUGAGUUAUAUAUAUAUGUUUUAGUUGUCGGUGGGAACAUAUAAAUAUAUAUACUCUAACAAAAUGAAUAUAAAUUUCUUAAUAUUGAUUAUAGAUAUUGUGUGACUCGAAUCUCGUCAUUUUUUGAAGAAAUAAAUACAGUGGAAAAUAAAGGGAUCUGUGGGCAACUCCUACUAUUUGACUUUGAUUAGAGCAAGAUUUUUCAACCCUUAAAUAAAUGUAGUCGAAACUCCUCUUGUAUCAUUCAUUAGUGAAUUUCUUCUCCUCUACACGUGAUUUUUUCCCGAAAGGGUUCCACGUAAAAUCUGUGUUUUUAUUUUUCUUUUCUUAUUGCCUUGCAAUUGUUCUACCGUCAUUACUUACUUUAAUUAUAACAAGUAUUUAAAUUUUAAGUCACAUGUUUUAAAUAUACUCAACAUCAAAAUCCAUCUAGUAUUAGUAAGUUGACAGAAUAUCCUAAUUGAUAAGAUACUGAAACUUUGAGUAUUCAAUUAAGAAGUUUUAAAAUUAUUGAUGACCAAUUUAAAUUUUGAACAAUAGUUUAAGGCAUCUAAUGCAAUUAACCCGAAGAUGAAAUUAAAAAAUUAGCAUUCCCAAUCAUAGUUAUUAGAAUAGUUUAAUGGGUUUCUAGUCAUAUAUAAAAGUAAACAAAGACUAACAACUUUGGCAACAAAGCACACGAAAAUUAAUUAAUUUUUAAUUUAACUUGCAUUUACUUGCUAGUUGAUGAAGUGGGCAACUUCCAAAGUCAAAAUUGGUAAUUGAAGGCACCUUUUGUAGGAAGAUUCCACUUGAAGAUAAAAGGAGGGCUAAGAAACCCUUUCGCCCUUUGCAUUUGUCCCAAAGAUGGAAAGGUAACCAAAUAAGAAUCAUUGACUACUCUUUCCCCUCCCUCAAGAUUUAGGGUUUAAUUAUGUAGCCUUUGAAAAGUUGGAUAUAUAGAGUUGAUAUACUAUGAAUUCCCCAAUUUUGAUGCCCAUUUUAAGGAGAUUCUCAUGUACUUUGCAAGUAGUUUUCUUUAUCGAUACAAUAUUGGGACUGGGAUGAUAAUGACAAGGUUUAAAUUCGUAUCACUUAGAUGUCUGAUAAAAACGUUAACUAUUGUUUCAAACAAGUGUCGCGAGCUGUUACUUAUUAAUUCGAGUUAAUAUAUUAUUUGGUGCAUAUAUUUGAUUUCAAUGUUUAUGUAACACUCCUAACCCGUAUCCGUUGCCGGAAUAAUUUUAUGAGGUAUUACUUGACUGAACAAAACUUCUAUAAGGUCAAAGAUAUUUACCAGACAUAAAUUAUCAACAAUGCAACCUGUCUCAUUGAUUUUUUCAUAAGAGCUCUUAUAAAUUUCCAAAAUGACUAACUAUCAAAACAUAACCGAAUAUCUAAUAACAAAUUAACUACUAUCAAGUUAUAACUAAAACAUUUCAACACAUUAGUUCAAUUAUAAGGCUUCUCUAAACAAAAUAAGCGAGCCAUCUUCGCAUGACUAUAAUGUAUACAAAGUCAAAAUAUCAUUCUACCUAUAGUCUAUCCUAUACAUGCCUUAAAUCAUGAUGAUAUACCAUCUUCUCAACUCACAUAAUGACUCGGUAGUGUGAUGAUAUCUCCGGCUCUUCCAACUCGAACUAAAGGAUAAACCUAUAAGGAAUGGAAAAGAGAACACGGAGUAAGCUUCAAUGCUUAGUAAGUUUUAAGCAAUGCAAACAAUUAAUUUACUUAUAGAUCGAUUAUUUCAAAUUUUCAAGAAAUCAUUCCUAGGUAAUUGCCAUUUCGACCAAGUAUCCAUGAACAUAAUGCAUAUUUAGAAAAUUCACCUCACUUGAAUCUGAACUCAAUUAAAACCAAAUAUUGAAAUCACAAAUAAGAUCAUAAGAACUCGAAAAGUAUCUCAUUAACUAGUUUUAACCAUGUUUGCAACAAAAUCACAAAUUCACUACAAGCUGUUUUCCUGAGCAAUAGUCACUAAAUUAUUUAUAACUGGAGAUAAGAAACUCCAAAUAAAGUGCCGUUAAUUUUUCCUGAAAAUAGACUUAUAUAUCUUCCAUCCAUAAAAUUUUCAGAAUUUUUGGUUUGACCAAUCAAUACCAGAUUUUAUUGAAUUUUCCCCUGUUUCACUGUUUGACUAUUCUAACCACUCUUCACUACAAAUCAAUUUUCUCAUUACACAGAAUUUGAAAUAUGUUAUCGUUUACUUCAUUUGAAACUAGACUCAUUAAGGAGUCUAAGAAUAUAAAUUUUAUCUUAUAAUCAUCAUUUUACAAUUUACAAUGAUUUUCUAAAGACAGAACAGGGGAUUUCAAAGUCAUUUUGGCUCUGUCUCACUCCACUUCAAAUAUCUCAUUAUCUAAAAUUUUUUUGCUUACACGGUUUCUUUUAUAAGAAACUAGACUCAUUAAGCUUUAAUUUCAUAAUUUAUUCAGAUUCUAAUUCAAUUUCCAUAAUUUAUGGUGAUUUUUCAAAAUCACGCUACAGUUGCUAUCCCAAGCAGAUUUAUUACAAAUUUGCUCUUUCACACAUUCCUUGCAUUCAAAUUAUCUAAACAUGUAUAUCAUGUCAUUCAAGAUCGAACUAAUAUAACAUAGGCAUUAAAAUGCUUCACUAUCAGCUUUAGUUCAAUUGAAACGAAUGAAAUACGAUAUCAUAUUCACAUUUAAUUUUCCAAGAUCGUAAUCACCUAAAAAUAAAAUCAUAUACUUCCACAAACCUUUCCACAAGGACCAAGUGUUUAUAUUUGAAUAUAAACAUAGAAUCACUUCACAUAACUUCACAUAUUUACCGAAUAUAUCACAAUCACAUUUAUAGUCAUAACACUUAUUCACAGAUGCAUCACUUUAUAUAUAUUUGUAAUUUAAUUCAAAUCAAAAUCGCAUACGAGUACAUGAUACAUACUUGGCCAACUUAAUAUGUAAUGCACUUUCAAUUUGUCAACUUAGUGUAGGAUCUUGUAAUUGUAUACUUUUAUCAAAUUCAUCGGCACUUGGCCUACUAGGUAUAAAACCCGAAAUUAUAUUAUCAGCACAAAGCCUGCGGGACUUUAACCCGGAUACAUUUCCAGCACGAAGCCUGCGGGACUUUGGCCCAGAUAUAUUUCCAGCACGAAGCCUGCGGGACUUUAGCCCGGAUACAUUUCCAGCACGAAGCCUACGGGACUUUAGCCCGGAUACAUUUCCAGUGUCUUGCAUAUUUAUUCACAUGUUAACGCAUUUCACAUAAUAUUUCACAUUAACAAUUUAAUUGCUUCAUUCGAAUAUAAGCACAAAAUGUACACCUACCUUUUAACUUUCGGUUCAAUAAUCAUACACAAGGAACACAUAAUCUUUUCAUUAUCCUGGUUUCACUUUUAAUAACCAUUCGACUAUAUGCCAUAUUCACAAAUUAUUUCACACACAACCUCGAUCAAGUAGGAACAAUAGUCACAAUUCAUCUAUUAUACAAAUAUCCCAUUCUUUGACUUUGUUUCAUAAUAGCUAUUCUGUCACCACAUAUAUAUACCAUUCAAUUCACCUUCGACUUUAUACAAACAAGUACAAUAAAAUUGUAUACACAUAUUACACACUUUCACAUCAUCACUUAAUAGUCAUUCGGCCACAUUAUAUACAUAAAUCAUCCAUUUCAUAUUCGGCUUUAUAGCCGAAAUUCAAUAUACUUAUUGCAAAUCGAACUUGUAAACGUCAAAUAAUUACUUAUCAUAUUAUAUAAUCUUAAGCGCGCAGCAAAUCAAAUAUAAUUACUUAAGGACUUACCUCGGAAGACGAUAAUCGGAACGAGACGACUAAUCGACCAUUUUGAUUUUCCCCCCGAUCCAAAUCCGAAUUCUACUUUUGCCAAUCUAAUUAAUAUCAAAAUUAACUCACUUAUUCAACAUUUCUUUAAAUUUUAUCUAAAGACACAUAAUUUGGGCAUUUUGCAUUUUAUCCCCUAACAUUUCACAUUUUUACAAUUUAAUCCCUAUUUCAAAAUAACACAAAUUACUCAAAAUUUCAUCAAACCCAUGUUAGGCCGAAUUUACCUUAGGUCUCUAGCAACCCAUUUCUUUUAUUUAUUUCAUGUUUUGACCCCUCAAUUUACAAAUUUCUAAAUUUAGUCCUUAAUACACAUUUUUAUCAAAAAUCACUUAAUCAAUCAUGAAAAUCAAACAUCAAAGAUUUAUUACUCAUCAUCAAACAAGAUACUCAAACAUUCAAUAAUGGCAUCAUCCAAAUACUUUAACAAUUUUAAAAUUAGAGGUACGGGCCAGCUAGAUUACGAAGCAACGAUCUCAAAAACAUAAAAAUUAUUAAAAACCGAGACGACAUGGACUUACAUGCAUGAACAACCAUGGCCGAACCUUCAAAGCUUUGAGAACAUUAUUUUCUUUCUCACAUUCGGCUAUUGAUGAAGAUGAUAGCAUGUAAUUUGGCUUUUGUUUUAUUUUAUUUUAUUAUAAUUACCAAAUAACAUAUUUAACCUUAAUAUACAUUAAUAAUUUCCAUUAUACCAAGCCAUGAAAUUCCACUAUCAACAAUUAUGGAAUAAUUACCACUUAAGGACUCCCACUAUUUAAUUCCAUAGCUAUUUAAUAUCUUUAACUUAUAGAACACAACUUUUACGCUUUGCGCGAUUUAGUCCUUUUUGCUUAAUUAACUAUCAAAACAAUAAAAUUUUUCAACGAAACUUUAAUAUCAUCUUAUUGCAACUCCGUAAAUAUUUAUAAAAAUAUUUACGACUCGGUUUAUAGAAAUGAGGUCUCGAUACCUCAUUUUCUAAACCCACUUGACCUCAGGGUCAUACCACUUGAGCUUAAUAAAUCGCUUAUAAAACAAAAAUCACAAUAUCAAAAACCUUUUUUAAACUCACAAUUAACUCAUAAAUAUUAAAUAUAAUAUUUACAAACCUACUCAUCGAUUUAGUGGCCCCGAAACCACUGUUCUGAUUAACCCUAAAAACGGGUUGUUACAGUUUAAUUUGGUAUUUGAGUUUUUCUUAUCCCGUACAAGUAUCUAAGUUUGACAUCAAUAUUCAAUUUGGUACCUAAUUUUUUCUUUUGUCCCAAUUAAGUAUCUUUUUUUUUUUACUAUUGCAUACAUAUCAAAUAUUUAUUGGGCUACAUGAUGUUGUUUAGUUUGGACACCAAAUUGAACAUUAAAGACAAAUUCAAGUACCAAAUGGAACAUUGAAACAAAUAUAGAUACCAGAUGUUAUAUUAACCCUUUCUACCAUAAUAAUUCAAUAUACAAACAUAUAUACAUAUAAAACUAAAAUCUAACCUUCUCAUUUCUCAGCAACUACACUUAAAAGGUCUUUGUUAUAGUAUGGCACAUCCCAUUCAUUAAGCAACCAAUGAGAGGUAUAAUUAGGCAUCUUUGGAUGGCCAAUUACCUCUACCUCAAACUCUUUGGAUAACAUUCAAAUGAGGUGAGUUUGGGAUUUCAAUUAAUUAUUACAAAAGAGGAUUAAUACAUUAGUAAGAUUAAAUAAGCAAUUUAAUAUUUUUAAAUAAAACAAAAAUCACCCACUUUUACUCAUAUAGUUUUCUUUUUAUCAAAACUAUUUUCAUAUUUUCUAUUACCUUAUCAAUAAUUAUUAUUGUUUUUAAAAUAAUUUUUAUUUCUUUUACUCACAUAAGCUUUUAAGUUAAAUGCCACUAAAUUAUUAGUAAGUUUACGUUUUGGUUACUCAACUUCAAAAGGUUAUAAAAUGGUCACUGAAUUAUUCAAAAGUUUUCAUAUAAGUUAUUAGGUUGUUAAAGUCGUUACUAUAUGGCCUUCUCUAUUCGCACCACUUGCACCAAUCGAAAGCUCUCAUUCUCCUUUUCUACAGUUCAUUUUUUUUCUUGAAACAACUUUGAAUAUUACGAAUCUACGAGUCAAAAUCCAAACAACUUUAUUCUCGAAUCUCUGACACUGACCGUUAGAUCGACUUAGAUCUAAUUAAGAUGGGUACUAAACAAACAUACUUGUCGAAACCAUUUUUAAUUUAAAAACAGGGAUCGACUUUAAAAUGAAAUAUGUAGUCGCCACCAAUCAUUUUUGUUUAGGUGUGAUUGGAUCACCUAAUAAAACAUCUUAUUUUAUUAAAAUAUUGAUUUUGGCCUACGAAAUUCAAGAAAACAGGUUCGGGAGUGAGUUACAUACGAGGAAGGAUUAGCACCCUCGGAACGCCCAAAAUUGGUACCUAACUGAUUAAUUAAUGUACUAAUGUCGAAAAUUUGAAAAGAUUUUAAAAUACAAUCCCAUUUAAAAAUGUUUGAAUAUAAUCGAAUUGGAUAUUAAGAUUCUCUUGCUCCGAAGGAAUAAAAUAUCACAUCCAGUAAGUUAAGAUACGACAAUUUAAACCCUCGAAACCAAGAUCAUCUCAUGGUUUCCAAAACUCAUGCAUUAAAAUUUUAAAAGGAUUUUCGGUUAUUUGGUCAAACGGUAAAUCGAAACCCAGCACGUUAGGGCACGAUUUCUCGAAAUUUCCAAACACGGAAUAUUGCUUUAUUUUUUUAAUAAACCCUUACCUCGAGAUAACAAAAUGUCACAUCCAGUAAAUUAGGACUACAUUUUGAAUUCCCGAAAUAAGCUUUUAUUUGAAAAUUUUAUGUUUUGACUUAAAAAAAAGAUACUUGGUUACUUAGAUUCAACGAGGAAAAUUAGAAUCUAGUAAGUUAGGACACAAUAUUCUUGAAGCUCCCAAAUAUGAGCAUUACCUUAUUUGAAAAACUCUUGAAUAAAAUGCAAUAAUUAAAUGAAAUGCAUUUUUUUAUUUAAGACGAUGAUUUGUUAAUAAAACCAUUACACCAAUAAAAUAUUGAAUGCAAAUGCUAAAUGAUAAUUCAUGGAAAUUGCACAACAUGCUAACUUUCAAUGCUAAUAUAAACGAUUAAGAGAAAAUGUAGUAACAACAUAACUAAUAUCUCAAAUAGUACAAAGACAAUGCCAAGACUAACAUAAAAAGAAUGAUAAAAUAUCGAAAUUUUAAUAAAAAAAUAAAGUAAAUAACAGUUAAAUAUAUAUAUAUAUAUAUAUAAAAUAAAAGUUAAGGAAUAAAAUGAGACUUUAUAUAAAGGAAAUCAAAUAUAUAUAAAAUAAAGUAUGUAAAAUUAAUGAUAUAUAAAAAUAGAUAAUUAACAAAACAAUUUAAAAAAUAUGGUGAAGUUUACAAUGGAUAAUAUAUAUAUAUAUAUAUAUAAAAUAUAAAACAUUAAAAAAACUUGAAUAAAUAGCAAAACAAUUUAAAAAAUGAAUAAUGUGGUAAAUUUUAAAAAGAAUAAUAUAUACACAUAUGUGAUAAUAUAUGGUAAAUAACAUAUGUUUAAAAUAAAUAAUAACCUUAAAUAAAUAAUAGAACGAUUUAAAAAUAAAGGAUACAACAAAUUUUAAAUUACAAUUAAAAAGAUUAAAACUAUAUAAUAUACAUAAAAGAUAAUAUUUAAUGAAUAAAAUAAUAUAUAAUAAAGCAACCUAAUGUAAAUAAUAACAAAAAGAACAAAAUGAUUUUAAAUAAACAAUACAUAAAAUAUUAAAAUAAAUAAAUAAAUAACAAAUAUAAAAAAAGAUUAAAAUCCAACAAACUAGGGACUAAAUCAGAAGAAAAAAAAGUCAGGGAAAAAAAACAAAGAAAUAUGCGUACAAGGACCAAAUUAUAACACGCGUGAAAACGGGGGAGCGAUCUGGGAAAUACCUCAGGACCGUAUGUGCAGCAUUCAGGGAAAGGACCAAAAUAUAAUGAGCGUAAAAGCGCGGGGAUCAAUUUGGAAAUUAAUCCCUUCUCUCAAAAACCAGCGUUUAAGCAUAGAUUAAAUUAGAAUAGCGCACAAAUUUCAGGAAAAAUUUAAAUAAUACAAAAGAAAUAUAAAUAGGACUCAAUCAGAUGGCACCAAAACAUGGAGGGACCAAAUGAGAAAUUCACCCAAAGCAGCUAAACACGCGAUCCUCCUCGGGUCGGGUCGGUUCGCACGCGGGUCAGCACGAAACGGUGCCGUUUCAGCACCUGGGUUCCAAAGACUAAGCGGCGCCGUUUUAUUUGUUAUUAAAACAGAAAAAAAAUUCAUUUGAAUGGCAAUCUGCCAUUUUCUACAAAAAUCCAAACAAAUCCCUAACCCCCAUUCUUUUAUCGCUCAGUUGGCCGACAAAGGAACCCUCAGCUCCGUCCUCCACACACCACUGUGAUCGGUGAUAGACAUAGAGCGAAGGUCCAUCUCCUCCCCUUAAAACCAAGCUCAGAAGCCUUAAAAGUUUCCACCCCGGAGACCCCUCUUUGCUUCGAUUGCAACGAAGAAGAUGAGGCUCCGACGGUGCACUUGUGAAGGUAUAUCCCUCGCUUUUUUAUUUUUACACGCAAAGAAAGAAACAAAGAUUCAAGAAGAGAGAAAAAAAAUCGAAAGAAAGAGAUCCGAGAAUCACCUUUGAGAAUUUUUUUCUUUUUCUUUUUGGAUUGAUUUCUAUUCAAAUGUAUGCGUAAAAAAAUCCCUUUACACCGUUUUUAACCGGCUUUAUAUAGCCGAAAAUAAAAAUAAAAAUUUACAAAUUUUGAUUUUUUUUGCUCUCUUUGCUACUGUUAUUUUUUGCUGUUUGUUAUCCUUGUUGUAAUUUGCUGUCAAUCUAUGUUGCCGCUAUUCUGUUUUGCUACUAUGUACGGCGUGGAGAUGGCUGUUCGUGGGAGAGCUGCGGAUGUGGCCAUGACGCGCUGGAGAUCCCUGCUGAGGCAACUGCGGCGCUAGCCUUAGGGUUCCAGUUUCUGGAGCCGAAGAUCUGGGCCAUUCGGGCUCGUUUUAGAAGUGGGCUGUUGGGCCUUAUGAGUUUAGGUUUAGAAUCUGAAAAUUGGGUAGUUUAUUUUAGGCCAUAGUGGGCCAUUGUAACAUGGACUUGGACUUUGUUUUAUUAUUGGGCUUGUAUGGACUGUUUAUUAGUUUUUGUUUUUGUACAGGCCCGGGCAAAAAUGGGCCAUUACAAUACUGAUUGUCGAAUUGUCGAAUUAGCCAAAAUUUUAAAAAGAUUAACAGCUCAAUGACUUAAAUAAAAAUUUUCAAAUAGUAUAAUGAUAUUUUAUAAUAAGUGAUCAAAAUAUAAAUUUAUUAAUACUUUAAUAACUUUGGAUGAAAUUUACCCUAAUCAGAAAAAUGGUGAACGGGUGAGUAACCAUUGGGCUCAAGGCUUAUGGGCUUUUAUCUUAUUGAUUUCCAGAACAGAACCAAAGCAAGUAACCAGUGGCACCAAAAAGCCAUUUCUGAGCAUUUCAAUUUUUUUU